UACGGAGGUGGCAAGCGUUACUCGGAUUUAUUGGGUGUAAAGGGCAGGUAGGCGUCUCGAUAAGUUCUUGGUGAAAUCCUUCUGCUUAACGGAAGAACUGCCCGGAAAACUAUCGAGAUUGAGGCUAGAAGAGGAGAGUGGAAUUCCCGGUGUAAGGUUGAAAUCUGUAGAUAUCGGGAGGAACACCAGUAGCGAAGGCGGCUCUCUGGUAUAGACCUGACGCUGAGCUGCGAAAGCUAGGGGAGCAAACAGGAUUAGAUACCCUCGUA
rnacentral:rRNA from 1 species